rnacentral:tRNA from 1 species
GCCUGGGUGGCUCAGAGGGUAGAGCCUCUGACUUCAGCUCAGGUCAUGAUCUCGUGGUCUGUGGGUUCGAGCCCCGCGUCAGGCU